UAAUGAUGGCCAGGCUGUCUCCACCCGAGACUCAGUGAAAUUGAACUCGCUGUGAAGAUGCAGUGUACCCGCGGCAAGACGGAAAGACCCCGUGAACCUUUACUAUAGCUUGACACUGAACAUUGAGCCUUGAUGUGUAGGAUAGGUGGGAGGCUUUGAAGUGUGGACGCCAGUCUGCAUGGAGCCGACCUUGAAAUACCACCCUUUAAUGUUUGAUGUUCUAACGUGGACCCGUGAUCCGGGUUGCGGACAGUGUCUGGUGGGUAGUUUGACUGGGGCGGUCUCCUCCUAAAGAGUAACGGAGGAGCACGAAGGUUGGCUAAUCCUGGUCGGACAUCAGGAGGUUAGUGCAAUGGCAUAAGCCAGCUUGACUGCGAGCGUGACGGCGCGAGCAGGUGCGAAAGCAGGUCAUAGUGAUCCGGUGGUUCUGAAUGGAAGGGCCAUCGCUCAACGGAUAAAAGGUACUCCGGGGAUAACAGGCUGAUACCGCCCAAGAGUUCAUAUCGACGGCGGUGUUUGGCACCUCGAUGUCGGCUCAUCACAUCCUGGGGCUGAAGUAGGUCCCAAGGGUAUGGCUGUUCGCCAUUUAAAGUGGUACGCGAGCUGGGUUUAGAACGUCGUGAGACAGUUCGGUCCCUAUCUGCCGUGGGCGCUGGAGAACUGAGGGGGGCUGCUCCUAGUACGAGAGGACCGGAGUGGACGCAUCACUGGUGUUCGGGUUGUCAUGCCAAUGGCACUGCCCGGUAGCUAAAUGCGGAAGAGAUAAGUGCUGAAAGCAUCUAAGCACGAAACUUGCCCCGAGA
rnacentral:rRNA from 1 species